rnacentral:rRNA from 1 species
AGUGAACGCUGGCGGUAGGCCUAACACAUGCAAGUCGAACGGCAGCACAGGAGAGCUUGCUCUCUGGGUGGCGAGUGGCGGACGGGUGAGGAAUACAUCGGAAUCUACUUUUUCGUGGGGGAUAACGUAGGGAAACUUACGCUAAUACCGCAUACGACCUACGGGUGAAAGCAGGGGAUCUUCGGACCUUGCGCGAUUGAAUGAGCCGAUGUCGGAUUAGCUAGUUGGCGGGGUAAAGGCCCACCAAGGCGACGAUCCGUAGCUGGUCUGAGAGGAUGAGCAGCCACACUGGAACUUGGAGACGGUCCAGACGCCUACGGGAGUCAGCAGUGGGGAAUAUUGGCCAAUGGGCGCAAGCCUGCUCCAGCCAUACCGCGUGGGUGAAGAAGGCCUUAGGGUUGUAAAGCCCUUUUGUUGGGAAAGAAAUCCAGCUGGUUAAUACCCGGUUGGGAUGACGGUACCCAAAGAAUAAGCACCGGCUAACUUCGUGCCAGCAGCCGCGGUAA